rnacentral:rRNA from 1 species
AGCGAACGCUGGCGGCAGGCCUAACACAUGCAAGUCGAACGGAUCCUUCGGGAUUAGUGGCGGACGGGUGAGGAACACGUGGGAACGUGCCUUUUGGUUCGGAACAACUCAGGGAAACUUGAGCUAAUACCGGAUAAGCCCUUCGGGGGAAAGAUUUAUCGCCAUUAGAGCGGCCCGCGUCUGAUUAGCUAGUUGGUGAGGUAAAGGCUCACCAAGGCGACGAUCAGUAGCUGGUCUGAGAGGAUGAUCAGCCACACUGGGACUGAGACACGGCCCAGACUCCUACGGGAGGCAGCAGAGGGGAAUCUUGCGCAAUGGGCGAAAGCCUGACGCAGCCAUGCCGCGUGAAUGAUGAAGGUCUUAGGAUAGUAAAAUUCUUUCACCGGGGACGAUAAUGACGGUACCCGGAGAAGAAGCCCCGGCUAACUUCGUGCCAGCCGCCGCAGUAA